AUUGAACGCUGGCGGCGUGCUUAACACAUGCAAGUCGAUCGGUAACGCGGGGGCAACCCUGGCGACGAGAGGCGGACGGGUGAGGAACGCUUGGGAAUCUGCCUAUCAGCGGGGGACAACACGGGGAAACUCGUGCUAAUACCGCAUACGCUCUACGGAGGAAAGCCGGGGACCGCAAGGCCUGGCACUGAUAGAUGAGCCCAAGCCGGAUUAGCUAGUUGGCGGGGUAACGGCCCACCAAGGCGACGAUCCGUAGCUGGUCUGAGAGGACGAUCAGCCACACUGGGACUGAGACACGGCCCAGACUCCUACGGGAGGCAGCAGUGGGGAAUAUUGGGCAAUGGGGGAAACCCUGAUCCAGCGACGCCGCGUGGGUGAAGAAGGCCUGCGGGUUGUAAAGCCCUUUCGGUAGGGACGAAAGCUCUCGACCUAACACGUCGGGAGGUUGACUUAACCUACAAAAGAAGCACCGGCUAACUCUGUGCCAGCCGCCGCCGUAAAAC
rnacentral:rRNA from 1 species